rnacentral:rRNA from 1 species
CAUCGCCUCUUGAAGAAAUAUAAGAGGUCCAGCCUGCCCAGUGACAUAGUUUAACGGCCGCGGUAUAAUAACCGUGCGAAGGUAGCAUAAUCACUUGUUCUCUAAAUAAGGACUCGUAUCAAUGGCACCACGAGGGUUAUACUGUCUCCUUUCUCUAAUCAGUGAAACUGAUCUCCCCGUGAAGAAGCGGGGAUUAGAUUAUAAGACGAGAAGACCCCAUGGAGCUUUAAACUCAAUACACAUCUCUGUAUACCUAAACCACCUUAACCUAGGAGACUUGUGUUUUAGUUUUCGGCUGGGGAGACCGCGGAGUAAAACUAAACCUCCACAACAAAUGGGCUAAUACCCUUAUCCAUGAGCCACAACUCUAAGAAUCAAUAAAUUGAUGUCCUAUGACCCGAUUAUUCGAUUAAUGAACCAAGUUACCCUGGGGAUAACAGCGCAAUCUAUUUCAAGAGCCCAUAUCGACAAAUAGGUUUACGACCUCGAUGUUGGAUCAGGGUAUCCUGGUGGUGCAGCCGCUACCAAAGG